GUUUCAAAGAGGCAAAUUAAAAUCUCACUCCGUUUUUAUAUGCCCCCUCAUUCAAAAUUGUAACAUUUUGACACGAAACCGAGAGAGAGAGGCUGUUACAUGAGUGCGAUCAUUUUCAUGUUUAGUGAAGGAGAAAAGCAAACAAUGUCUUAAGAAGGGGAGGCUCAGCAAAGAACAGAACUGGAUUCCAUUCCUCCCCCUCACCCAUCCCUGCGUUAGAGGGACACUCAAGCUAUACUGAAAUUUGUUGGGGAUAAAGAGUACACAUCACGCCAUAUGUUGUUUGGAUAGCAAUACUUAAAACUGCAUGGAAGGAACGAGGUAUGGAAGGCAACUUCUGCAGGUGGAUCUGCUGCCUUCCAUAUGGAAGAGAGAUUCAGCUGCCUCAACAGCACCACUUCUGGAGUUGCAUUAAGGAAGUGAGAGGGAUGUAGCCAGGAGAAUCAUUCCCAUGGGAAAUCUGCACAAGCCCAGGCUGAAUUACCUUUUGUAUGAAACCACUCUUUCCUGUGGAACUCUUUCACGGGGCAGGAUCUCUGGGACAGCCACCUGUGUUUUCCCAGCAGCUGAAAGGAUGCAGGUGCUUAUGGAGAACCUGGGGAAGAUGUGAUUGUAUUCCUUUUAUUUCUCCCCAUUUUCACCUUAUUAAAAGGAGAAACUAUGCAUCUGAAAAGAAAAACAUGAAGAGGAGACCCCAGUGCCUUUACUUUGGAGUGCUGAGAGAUGGAGAAUGAAAAAGCCAUUGGUCUCAGUUUUACUACCACAAUGGCCUUUUAUGAGAGGGAUUAGAUACGCCUAGAACUGGUGCAGCAUUCAUCGCUGCCCUGGACAACAAUCUGGAAAAAAAGACAAUAAAAAUCAGUUUGUUGUAAGGUUAAAUCACCGCAGACUUGCUAGAUUGGCUUUUCAGAUAGUUUUUUGUUUGAGAAAGGAGAAAAAAAGAAAAAUAUGUCUUAAAAGCUGAUUUCUCUCUCUCUCUCUCUCUCUUCCCCCCUUCAAGAUGUAGCAUUCAGAAAACAUGUUGAGCAAGUUGAGGCAUUAAAAAGAUCAGUCUUUGGCUGUUGAAUGAAAGACUAUUGUGCGUGUGACUCACAUACUAAA